rnacentral:rRNA from 1 species
GAACGCUGGCGGCGUGGAUAAGGCAUGCAAGUCGAACGAUUUUUCUUUUUGAGGGAGAUGCGAUUACAUCAAGUCAAACGAGAUUGGAAAGAUAGUGGCGAACGAGUUAGUAACGCCUUGGUACAUACUCUUUAGUUUGGUAUAGCUCAUCGAAAGGUGGGGUAAUCCCAAAUAGUCCCGCAAGGGUAAAGUCGCAAGACGCUAGAGAAUUGGCCUAGGUCUGAUCAGCUAGUUGGUGUGGUAAUGGCUCACCAAGGCAAUGACCAGUAGGGGCGCUGAGAGGCGGACCCCCAACGACGGCACUGAGAUACGGGCCGUACACCUACGGGUGGCAGCAGCCGAGAAUAUUUGUCAAUGGACGAAAGUCUGAACAAGCGACGCCGCGUGCAGGAGGAAGGUCUUCGGAUCAUAAACUGCUUUUCUACAGGAAGAAACAAAUGACUGUACUGUAGGAAUAAGGAGCUGCAAACUACGUGCCAGCCGCCGCGGUAAUACA